rnacentral:rRNA from 1 species
CUACCUUAGGCGCCUGCCCCCUUACGGGUAGCUCAGCAACUUUGGGUAUUACCAACUUCCAUGGCGUGACGGGCGGUGUGUACAAGACCCGGGAACGCAUUCACCGCGACGUUCUGAUUCGCGAUUACUAGCAACUCCGACUUCAUGUAGGCGAGUUGCAGCCUACAAUCCGAACUGGGAUCGGUUUAUUGGGAUUCGCUCCAGAUCACUCCUUCGCUGCCCUUUGUACCGACCAUUGUAGCACGUGUGUAGCCCAAGACAUAAGGGGCAUGAUGAUUUGACGUCAUCCCCACCUUCCUCCGAUUUAUCAUCGGCAGUCUCCUUAGAGUGCCCAGCUUAACCUGCUGGCAACUAAGGAUAAGGGUUGCGCUCGUUGCGGGACUUAACCCAACAUCUCACGACACGAGCUGACGACAACCAUGCACCACCUGUCACCCUUGCUCCCGAAGGAGAGGGCACAUCUCUGUGCCGGUCAAGGGGAUGUCAAGCCUUGGUAAGGUUCUUCGCGUUGCUUCGAAUUAAACCACAUGCUCCGCUGCUUGUGCGGGUCCCCGUCAAUUCUUUGAGUUUCAGUCUUGCGACCGUACUCCCCAGCGGAGUGCUUAUUGUGUUACUUCGGCACUUGAAUAUCGCUACCCAACACCUAAGCACUUCAUCGUUUACAGCGUGGGACUACCAGGUAUCUAAUCCUGUUUGCUACCCACGCUUUCGUGACUAGCGUCAGUUACAGUCCAGUAAGUCGCCUUCGCACUGGUGUCUCUAAUA